rnacentral:lncRNA from 1 species
GGCCCAGGCCUGUGCUGACCCGGAUGUGCGGCAGAGCCAGGCGCCUGCCCUCGGGCAGCUGCUGCUUGGCGGGGGCGCGGGCGCUGCAUAAACACAGAAGAGCGUCACUGCUUGUGAUGACUGCGUGCCGGAGAGCAGCAGUGCCCACCGAAGAGUGUGGCGGGAAACCUAAUAUCCCUUUGGAAAUAUGGCAAAAGCUAUGGGUCCUCAAAAGUUACCAGUCACACAAGCAGAGUCAACGCAGUGAGAACUACAAGAAAGCCAAGGGCAAAAUGAAAGGACUUGAUUUUUGUUGGCUAUUGUUUAUGUCAGGAAGUAUGCUGGGCACUUUUUACGUUAAACACUCAACUGUUAUUAUGUCCAACCAUCUCAUUCAAUCUUUAAGCUCUGUUAAGUUCAUUUUACAUAAAAGUUAACUCAAAGGUUUAAGUGAUUUGGUGAAAGUCACACACAGAGCCUGAAAGAUAUAUGGGUAGGGUUUUGAGCCACUUCUCUACGCUGGGGAGGAAAAUUGCAGGGAAGCAGAGAUGAGGGAAAAGGAGGAGUGAGGCAGAGGAGGAAAAGAGGUGAGGGGGGCAUUCUGAGCUGCCACAGCUUGGCAAGGAACCUAUUCCCUGGUCUUCUGGCAUCUUCAGAAAGGCUGAAGCUGCUGUGCCUCCAAACUGUCUGUCUGGAAGAAAGUAUGUCUCCGUCAGCUCCCGCCUCCCACCAGUCAGGGAUGGCCCCGAGGAGUAUUAACUCUCUGGUACUUGUAGGUUGUUCAACUGAAGAUGUUAGGAAGUUGGGCAUGUGAUGGCUCGCUGUGCUGUGAAAGCCCUAAGGCAGAAGGCAAUAGGCUAGUGGUUUGGGCACUGAUAGAGCAAGCCCUCAAGGGACCUGAGGAAUUAGGAGAAAUUGCCUCUGCUCCUGAUGGCUCUGCAGGGCCCUCUGUUUGUAGCAGCAGCAGUCCAAGAUCAC